UUAAGCGACUAAGCGUACACGGUGGAUGCCCUGGCAGUCAGAGGCGAUGAAGGACGUGCUAAUCUGCGAUAAGCGUCGGUAAGGUGAUAUGAACCGUUAUAACCGGCGAUUUCCGAAUGGGGAAACCCAGUGUGUUUCGACACACUAUCAUUAACUGAAUCCAUAGGUUAAUGAGGCGAACCGGGGGAACUGAAACAUCUAAGUACCCCGAGGAAAAGAAAUCAACCGAGAUUCCCCCAGUAGCGGCGAGCGAACGGGGAGCAGCCCAGAGCCUGAAUCAGUGUGUGUGUUAGUGGAAGCGUCUGGAAAGACGCGCGAUACAGGGUGACAGCCCCGUACACAAAAUGCACAUGCUGUGAGCUCGAUGAGUAGGGCGGGACACGUGGUAUCCUGUCUGAAUAUGGGGGGACCAUCCUCCAAGGCUAAAUACUCCUGACUGACCGAUAGUGAACCAGUACCGUGAGGGAAAGGCGAAAAGAACCCCGGCGAGGGGAGUGAAAAAGAACCUGAAACCGUGUACGUACAAGCAGUGGGAGCACGCUUAGGCGUGUGACUGCGUACCUUUUGUAUAAUGGGUCAGCGACUUAUAUUCUGUAGCAAGGUUAACCGAAUAGGGGAGCCGAAGGGAAACCGAGUCUUAACUGGGCGUUAAGUUGCAGGGUAUAGACCCGAAACCCGGUGAUCUAGCCAUGGGCAGGUUGAAGGUUGGGUAACACUAACUGGAGGACCGAACCGACUAAUGUUGAAAAAUUAGCGGAUGACUUGUGGCUGGGGGUGAAAGGCCAAUCAAACCGGGAGAUAGCUGGUUCUCCCCGAAAGCUAUUUAGGUAGCGCCUCGUGAAUUCAUCUCCGGGGGUAGAGCACUGUUUCGGCAAGGGGGUCAUCCCGACUUACCAACCCGAUGCAAACUGCGAAUACCGGAGAAUGUUAUCACGGGAGACACACGGCGGGUGCUAACGUCCGUCGUGAAGAGGGAAACAACCCAGACCGCCAGCUAAGGUCCCAAAGUCAUGGUUAAGUGGGGAAACGAUGUGGGAAGGCCCAGGACAGCCAGGAUGUUGGCUUAGAAGCAGCCAUCAUUUAAAGAAGCGUAAUAGCUCACUGGUCGAGUCGGCCUGCGCGGAAGAUGUAACGGGGCUAAACCAUGCACCGAAGCUGCGGCAGCGACGCUGAUGGCGUUGUUGGGUAGGGGAGCGUUCUGUAAGCCUGCGAAGGUGUGCUGUGAGGCAUGCUGGAGGUAUCAGAAGUGCGAAUGCUGACAUAAGUAACGAUAAAGCGGGUGAAAAGCCCGCUCGCCGGAAGACCAAGGGUUCCUGUCCAACGUUAAUCGGGGCAGGGUGAGUCGACCCCUAAGGCGAGGCCGAAAGGCGUAGUCGAUGGGAAACAGGUUAAUAUUCCUGUACUUGGUGUUACUGCGAAGGGGGGACGGAGAAGGCUAUGUUGGCCGGGCGACGGUUGUCCCGGUUUAAGCGUGUAGGCUGGUUUUCCAGGCAAAUCCGGAAAAUCAAGGCUGAGGCGUGAUGACGAGGCACUACGGUGCUGAAGCAACAAAUGCCCUGCUUCCAGGAAAAGCCUCUAAGCAUCAGGUAACAUCAAAUCGUACCCCAAACCGACACAGGUGGUCAGGUAGAGAAUACCAAGGCGCUUGAGAGAACUCGGGUGAAGGAACUAGGCAAAAUGGUGCCGUAACUUCGGGAGAAGGCACGCUGAUAUGUAGGUGAAGUCCCUCGCGGAUGGAGCUGAAAUCAGUCGAAGAUACCAGCUGGCUGCAACUGUUUAUUAAAAACACAGCACUGUGCAAACACGAAAGUGGACGUAUACGGUGUGACGCCUGCCCGGUGCCGGAAGGUUAAUUGAUGGGGUUAGCCGCAAGGCGAAGCUCUUGAUCGAAGCCCCGGUAAACGGCGGCCGUAACUAUAACGGUCCUAAGGUAGCGAAAUUCCUUGUCGGGUAAGUUCCGACCUGCACGAAUGGCGUAAUGAUGGCCAGGCUGUCUCCACCCGAGACUCAGUGAAAUUGAACUCGCUGUGAAGAUGCAGUGUACCCGCGGCAAGACGGAAAGACCCCGUGAACCUUUACUAUAGCUUGACACUGAACAUUGAGCCUUGAUGUGUAGGAUAGGUGGGAGGCUUUGAAGUGUGGACGCCAGUCUGCAUGGAGCCGACCUUGAAAUACCACCCUUUAAUGUUUGAUGUUCUAACGUUGACCCGUAAUCCGGGUUGCGGACAGUGUCUGGUGGGUAGUUUGACUGGGGCGGUCUCCUCCUAAAGAGUAACGGAGGAGCACGAAGGUUGGCUAAUCCUGGUCGGACAUCAGGAGGUUAGUGCAAUGGCAUAAGCCAGCUUGACUGCGAGCGUGACGGCGCGAGCAGGUGCGAAAGCAGGUCAUAGUGAUCCGGUGGUUCUGAAUGGAAGGGCCAUCGCUCAACGGAUAAAAGGUACUCCGGGGAUAACAGGCUGAUACCGCCCAAGAGUUCAUAUCGACGGCGGUGUUUGGCACCUCGAUGUCGGCUCAUCACAUCCUGGGGCUGAAGUAGGUCCCAAGGGUAUGGCUGUUCGCCAUUUAAAGUGGUACGCGAGCUGGGUUUAGAACGUCGUGAGACAGUUCGGUCCCUAUCUGCCGUGGGCGCUGGAGAACUGAGGGGGGCUGCUCCUAGUACGAGAGGACCGGAGUGGACGCAUCACUGGUGUUCGGGUUGUCAUGCCAAUGGCACUGCCCGGUAGCUAAAUGCGGAAGAGAUAAGUGCUGAAAGCAUCUAAGCACGAAACUUGCCCCGAGAUGAGUUCUCCCUGACUCCUUGAGAGUCCUGAAGGAACGUUGAAGACGACGACGUUGAUAGGCCGGGUGUGUAAGCGCAGCGAUGCGUUGAGCUAACCGGUACUAAUGAACCGUGAGGCUUAACCUU
rnacentral:rRNA from 1 species